rnacentral:lncRNA from 1 species
GUCUUUGCAAAUUAUAAUCACUUGCAAGUAGAAAACCAUAAUGUUAAGAUGUUAAGAAUGCACAUAUGUGAAAAGAUAUAACGUUAAGCAACAUGGAACAAAAAUGGAGCACAUCAAGAAGCAGCUAUACAAAUGAAAAGUUGCAUGAUGUAAUAUUAAUACAAUAAGCAAGUAUUACUUAUUUGACAUUUUUUUAUUAUCGAUUUUAUAAGAGAUCUCCGAAAAGAAUAGACAUCACCAUGAUACAGAACAAAAUCAAAGAAACUAUAAAAUACUAGACCCAUAUAAUACAGGUCAUAGAGUAUAGAAUGCUUUAUGAUACUAAACUAUUUUAGAAUGUAAUAUAGUUUCUAAAAUCAAACUGCUUUAGACUAUUUUUCUUGUAUAUAUAACUGCGAAAUAAAUGCUAAAUAAAAGCAAUCUGAAGAAACUAAGAGAUUAUUGCCAGAAAAAGAAAAGGACCUGCAACUCUUCAGUGCAUUUUGUUGUCACGGGUGGAGGAAGGAACUUAUUCAAUGGGUCAUCCUUUUGCG